UACGUAGGGAGCAAGCGUUGUUCGGAUUUACUGGGCGUAAAGGGCGCGUAGGCGGCGCGGUAAGUCACUUGUGAAAUCUCUGAGCUUAACUCAGAACGGCCAAGUGAUACUGCAGUGCUAGAGUGCAGAAAGGGCAAUCGGAAUUCUUGGUGUAGCGGUGAAAUGCGUAGAUAUCAAGAGGAACACCUGAGGCGAAGGCGGGUUGCUAGGCUGACACUGGCGCUGAGGCGCGAAAGCCAGGGGAGCAAACGGG
rnacentral:rRNA from 1 species